UCUGGUGCUAAUUUACUUAGAAAAAAUUCUGAUGCAUGUUCUAGGUUGCUCGAAUCUCAUCUUUAAAUAUUGAUUAUCAGGGCUUGUAGCCUCAUGCAAGCCAAUUCAUCAAUCCCAGAUUUCCCCAAAGUCAGGCUCUGCAACUCUUCCCGGUACCAAAUUCCCUCAUUUAAGACUUAUUUGCAAAGAAAGAGACAACAGUAUGCUAUCUACGCAGUUGUGUAUGCGCAGCCUUCUUGAGUCCAUAUUGUGAGGAUACAGUCUUCUAAUACUUUUUUUGUAAUUGUUCUUUUUCUUCUUUUUUUUUUCCUUUUUUCACUGCCAAUACACCCCCUCCCCCAAUCUAGUAGUUUUAAAGUUGUGCGUUUCAGGUUCAAGUCUGUAAUCCAGCUGGGCUUCUGUUUGUGCUGCAUGUGUGCAUCAAAAGAACGUGCUUCUAGAAGUAGAAAGCAGGCAGUGCGACUGUUGGGUGGUUGGCGGGGUAGGGGGAGGGGAGCUGCUGCUCAGAGAGGGCGCCCGAGGGAGGCACGAGAUGCCGGGCUGCCCACCGCAAGCCCGCAGACUCCAAGGAGGUGGAACCCGCGUGCGCCAUGAGCCUUUUGAGACAGGCCCAAGCCCGCCCAGCCGGGUGCUUGCAAGUUCCACCAGGACUAGGGGAAGCCUAAGGCCAAGGAGGGCAAGGUCUAGGGUCUGGACCUGAGAACUGGUUCUGCCACUUGUGAUCGCAGAGCUUAUGCUGGAAAGGAGGGCAGGAAGCAUAUCACAACGUGUGUCCGGAGGAUGACCCAGAAGGGCGGGAGUUGUGGUCACCCAGGGACUCUGGGUCUGCAUAUGGAGGCCCCCAGGGUGCAAUUCCAGGAGCAGAAGGCAAAGCCACAGAGGCCAAAGUGCACCUCGCCAAUGCUUCCCAGGGGCAUUGCCCCAAAUCUGGGGAGCAGUCCCUACUCUGGGCUAGGGACUUUGUUUCCUCCAUUGUCAUCACUGACUGUGAGCAGACUCUAGUCUAUGCAGACUAAUGAGGAGUUAUCAAAAUGAGCUCCAAACUCCGGAUUUGAGUUAAGGAUCAUAAACUAACAUAGAGAAAUACGACUUUAGCAAUAAGUGACUGUUUGAAGCCCAAGUUGCCUUAAAACACAGAAUUUCAGUCUUUCAGCUCCUCUGCUAAUGUAAUAACUAAGAACAGAAUCUCACUGGAGCUCAAAGAUGUGGGGCACUGGGAAUACUCCUGGGUCUGUCUGCUCACGGCUGAUUGCCUGAUUCCCAGUUUUAUUAUACAGCUUAAAUACAGACCAGAAGAGGAGUUUGGGGCUUGACAUCUGACAUCUUAACACCAGUUCCUGUUUCUUGAGGAAGGAAGAGGUAAAAUAAAUCAGCGUUUACUGUGUCCUUCUCCAUCCCCGGAAGUCCUUGUGAAGACCCUCUCAGCUUCAACUUGAACGUGAAUAUGAGCAACUGAUCAUCUGUUCUGCAGUCAGCCCCUGGCCUGAUUCUGACUCAUGAUAUUGACCUUCUCCAUCAUCACCUUCCACAAAUUUGAUUCCUGUCUAUUCUGCCUGGAAUGGUUCACGAGUAUAGUCACCAUUUAUGUUCCUGACGAAAGCAGGAGAAGCAUUCCUGGAGAGAGGCGGAUUCCAUGUGUGCCGGCAAAGUGUGUGCUGAGAUGAUGAGUCGCUGGAGACCAGGGUGGACUCUUCAGACCCAGGAUAGGCC